GGAAAUGCAGGGAAGAAAUGCAAGGAGGGGAUUCAGAUUCUCCUUAAAACACCAUCCCAAAAACUCCAUUGCACUGUUGUCAUGGAUGGGAAGCCGCUCCACCUCCCAAUCACCCUUGCAGCCAUGAUGACCAACACUCAACAGCUUUGGAGGCCAUGUUGGUGCCACUAGUAUACCCAAAAAAUUGUUAAUCUGCAUAUACCCUUGUCGGAGACACUGUGGAGGGAGAGGGAGAGGGAGGAGGGUCAUCGGAGUACAUGGCCGCUGAUGUGAUUGAAGCUACUUCGCCUUCUCUUCACAGUCGAUGAAUUGACAGCAGACGUUAGUGGAUCUGCUUGGGAUGGUGGUUUGCUUACAGUUCUAUAGCUUCUCUGGUACUUCUUGAUUUUUCACUUAUUAAUUUCUUACAUAUCUAUUUUGUAAAGGAAAAAAGAAAAAGAAAAAGAAGAGGAUAUUUGCUUGGUAUUUCUUGUUAUAGUAAGAGUUUGGAUCAUCAAUUGUGAGAGUCUCUGGAUUCUGAGUACGAGGGUAGUUCGGACCUGCCGAAUAAAAUUGAAAAUUAAAGUGCCAUGAUAUGCCCCUUGAUGCAAGCUUGAGAAGAAGAAGAAGAUAGAAAAGGAAUGUAAUUGCAUAAAAAUAGAAUUUCAAAAAAAACACAAAACAAGAUUCAAUUUGAUUACACCCUCCGUCCCUCUUUCUUCUAUCUUAUUCAUAGACUUUAUAGACCAAGAUUGUAGUUAACAAUUCCUACUUUACAGGUAACGGUUCGAGAUUAACUAACUUGCUUGCUAACUGCUUAACUGAUCACUAAUCUAUCCCACUGAUUUAACUACUACUUCUAGUUCAUCGCAGGCUCUCCUCAGCUGCACUUCCAGUUCAUCAACACUCCAUUUACAUUCAUAUCACCCCUCUAGCAGUAAAAGAAAAAGUAAAAAAAAAUGAUUGAAUGUAGAAAAGAACGAGAAUUAGAAGGAGCAAUUUACUUCUUCAUUAUGGACACGGACGUGUGUUUGGUUGGGAGAUUUGGGAAGGGAUUUAAAAAAGGUAAAGAGAAAAAGAUAGGUGAAAUGUGAAUAAAAUAUACCUACAUUUCACUUAGUUUUACACACAUUUUCCCUUUCUAUUUUCAAAUCGCUCCUCAAAUCUUCCAACCAAACCCAACGGAAGAGAAUACUUGGAGAAUGGAUUGGGGAGGGAGACGGAAAUUCUCAGUAAUAUUCCAAUACCUAAUGCCUUAAAUUUAAUUUUCGUAUUGUAUUUGAUUUAACUUAUGUUAUUUUCGUUUGGUUAGGUGUGUACUCAAUCUUUUCCCUCCCAAACACACAUUAAUGUGUACUAAUUGGGCGUUGCUUUUAUUUUCGUUUGGUUUGGGCCUAGAGUCAUAUGGGAAUUGGAGCCACAAACAUUAGUCGGGCUUUGAUCUGGACACUCCGGUGCCAAUCGAAAAAGUAAAAAUAAAAAAGACCAGCCAUUCACUAUUUGGAAUGACUUUUCCCAAAUGGAUCAUAGGAUCAUAUGAUAACCAUGGCUAAGCAAGUAUGAAGCUGUACCAUGACACCCCUAGCCUUACUCUUGAUCAAGGCAGGUGUCAACCGUCAAGGUUCAAGGUCCAAAAAAUGCUCUUUGGCACCUCUCAAGGUGUUUGUCUUUAAUGCUUGUCCUGCACAUUUUAUUAUGUGGUGGGCUACUAUAGGAGAAAUCUAAGCUUCUAUAGAAGGUAAGCAGAAUUCUGCAAAGUGUUCUAACUGUUCUGAGAGAAUUAAAACACAUCAUAUGAUAGUGUGAGAGCAAACAUGAGGUUUCAGUAACGUGUCUCUUUAAAUACAUUCACAGGGUUGGUUUGUGUGUUUCCAAAGCGUAAUCGAUCUAAAAUUGUAGAUUACUUCUCUGUUUUCAAUUUUUUUUCCCUUUAUGUUUUCUGAUUGGGUUUUUCGGCUCUUGACACUUCUGUUUUCAUCUUCUUGUGAGUUUUAACUUUGUUAGAUUCAUCCACUUACCAAAAUGAAAGAAGGAAAAAAACAAAGAAAACAAGAAAUUCUGGCAAAUUCCUUCCAACCAUUUUGGGUACCAGGGCCCCUGUCAUGACAUUGUUAGAAAUGAUUUCAUGGAGUCCCUAGCAUAAAAAUGAGAGCUAGUUCAGUAUGCAAAUUUGUUGCCCUCCCAGUACAAUGACCUAACUGAAGCGGAACAUGCAUUGUUUUUUGAGAAAUUGUGGAAGCAACAAUGAGGUGGAAUCAAAUUGCUACUCUUCAUUCCGGAGAUGAUAGUGAAAUUGGGAAAGGAAAGCAGAAGGCUCACUUGAUCGUCGCAACAGAUGCUUGCCUUCCACUUCUUAAUUCACGGGAGUCACCAAUUGCUGCUCUUGUUUUAAUAAAAUAUGAGAUAUCAACAAAGACGGUAGGUUUAUCCCUUCAGGGUUUGUGUGCGCCACAACAGUACAAUACUAUAAAUUUAUUUGUAUUAUUACUAUUAUAUUUAUUAUUUUUUGUUCAUUGUAAGGUGAUAUAAUUGGUGUUUCACAAACAUUUUAGCCACAUCAGAUCACUGUGCCAUUACAUUGUAAGUUUAUGAUGAACAUUUUGUGUUGCUUGCUUUCC